rnacentral:rRNA from 1 species
AGAGUUUGAUCAUGGCUCAGAUUGAACGCUGGCGGCAGGCCUAACACAUGCAAGUCGAGCGGUAGCACAGAGAGCUUGCUCUCGGGUGACGAGCGGCGGACGGGUGAGUAAUGUCUGGGAAACUGCCUGAUGGAGGGGGAUAACUACUGGAAACGGUAGCUAAUACCGCAUAACGUCGCAAGACCAAAGUGGGGGACCUUCGGGCCUCAUGCCAUCAGAUGUGCCCAGAUGGGAUUAGCUGGUAGGUGGGGUAACGGCUCACCUAGGCGACGAUCCCUAGCUGGUCUGAGAGGAUGACCAGCCACACUGGAACUGAGACACGGUCCAGACUCCUACGGGAGGCAGCAGUGGGGAAUAUUGCACAAUGGGCGCAAGCCUGAUGCAGCCAUGCCGCGUGUGUGAAGAAGGCCUUCGGGUUGUAAAGCACUUUCAGCGGGGAGGAAGGCGGUGAGGUUAAUAACCUCAUCGAUUGACGUUACCCGCAGAAGAAGCACCGGCUAACUCCGUGCCAGCAGCCGCGGUAAUACGGAGGGUGCAAGCGUUAAUCGGAAUUACUGGGCGUAAAGCGCACGCAGGCGGUCUGUCAAGUCGGAUGUGAAAUCCCCGGGCUCAACCUGGGAACUGCAUUCGAAACUGGCAGGCUAGAGUCUUGUAGAGGGGGGUAGAAUUCCAGGUGUAGCGGUGAAAUGCGUAGAGAUCUGGAGGAAUACCGGUGGCGAAGGCGGCCCCCUGGACAAAGACUGACGCUCAGGUGCGAAAGCGUGGGGAGCAAACAGGAUUAGAUACCCUGGUAGUCCACGCUGUAAACGAUGUCGAUUUGGAGGUUGUGCCCUUGAGGCGUGGCUUCCGGAGCUAACGCGUUAAAUCGACCGCCUGGGGAGUACGGCCGCAAGGUUAAAACUCAAAUGAAUUGACGGGGGCCCGCACAAGCGGUGGAGCAUGUGGUUUAAUUCGAUGCAACGCGAAGAACCUUACCUGGUCUUGACAUCCACAGAACUUUCCAGAGAUGGAUUGGUGCCUUCGGGAACUGUGAGACAGGUGCUGCAUGGCUGUCGUCAGCUCGUGUUGUGAAAUGUUGGGUUAAGUCCCGCAACGAGCGCAACCCUUAUCCUUUGUUGCCAGCGGUCAGGCCGGGAACUCAAAGGAGACUGCCAGUGAUAAACUGGAGGAAGGUGGGGAUGACGUCAAGUCAUCAUGGCCCUUACGACCAGGGCUACACACGUGCUACAAUGGCAUAUACAAAGAGAAGCGACCUCGCGAGAGCAAGCGGACCUCAUAAAGUAUGUCGUAGUCCGGAUUGGAGUCUGCAACUCGACUCCAUGAAGUCGGAAUCGCUAGUAAUCGUAGAUCAGAAUGCUACGGUGAAUACGUUCCCGGGCCUUGUACACACCGCCCGUCACACCAUGGGAGUGGGUUGCAAAAGAAGUAGGUAGCUUAACCUUCGGGAGGGCGCUUACCACUUUGUGAUUCAUGACUGGGGUGAAGUCGUAACAAGGUAACCGUAGGGGAACCUGCGGUUGGAUCACCU